UAUUUUUACGUUUUUUAUGCGCUUCCCAACGUUACAUGGUCCACCUCUCUCAAGGUGUUGGAUUUGCUUAGGACCAUAUUACUCCGAUCAUUGAUGAAACUAAUAAUUGCGAGUUAUCUUUGCAUAAAACACGCAAGUGUAUACUCAAAAACAAUUAUAAAGUAAAAAGUUAUCGAACACGGCAGUCACAAGAAAACUUACUUUUAAUGUAUGUGCAAAGAUAUUUAUUCGCUUACAACUUUUCUUAGUACAACAUAUAAAAACAAUGAAAAUGGGGCCUAAUAUUCCCAACAACUACACAUGUAUUUAUCUGGCUAUGGCCGUCCAGUACAAUUGAAAAAAUUGAUGGCUUUACCAUUACCACAAGAAUAUAUACUCUUAUCUUACCCUAACUAUAUGUUCAGACAUACACAUAAAACAGAACAUUUAUAGAAGUAGUAUAUUGACACCAUGAAAUGAUCAAUCAAAAUGUGACCCUAUGAUCUUGUUUGUUUGUCAAUCUUGCAUCAAUACAUUUUUGGACAAAGAUGUUUAUUUAUUUAUUUUUAUCUAAUUAUAAUAGCUCACGAGGGAUAGACGAUGAAGGAGAACGUGAGUUGGACGGGAACGAAGAUCACAACGGACAAAUCCUUCGUCAUUAAAGUGCAAUUGUAGGAUUUGUCUAGAAAAAGAAGCAAAGAUAGAGGGUAUGGCGCGUGGUCUUGCAAGGUCAAGGAAAGGUCUUACAAGGUCAAGAAAAAACCAUGGGAAAGAAAAAUAAAAGACAACAAGUCAAAAAAUAGAAAAGGAAAAACAUAGAAUACUUGAAAAGCUCAGGUAGGAUAGCGCCUGAUUAAGAUCAGAUUCGACCAUUAUUCAACUUGGAAGCCAUGGGAGCCAUUGGAUUGCCCAAGAUUUCCUCUUUCUGAUAAAGGAUUCCUGGCUUUGUAAGCCAAUCAAGGUACAACCCUAGUGUUGAAGCAUCCGUGUUUGUCGACGAUUUCACCAAAGCCUGUAAUAAAAAUUUUCAAUAUAAAUAAAGGCAUAUCUACUAUGAAAAUAUAACAUGUUAGACAAAGUAGUUAUCAAUAUCAAUAAAAAAUCCACCUAUAUUGUGGUUUGACUUAAAAACGCAAAUAAUGAUAUCAAAGCCACGAGAUGGCUUAAACUUAAGUGGCAUAACUAUCCAUUUAUGAAAAUUAAGAACAUGCGUUUCUUCUUUAACAACCAAAACUUUUGACUAAGGUAAUCAUAACAUGCAGAUACAAUAAAAAAGGCCAUGUAAUUUGCUAUAUACCUUGUAGUGUUGGAAAUUCAUAGUUGAUUUCUGCUUUGAAAUCUUUGCUGUGACCCCCAGAAAAUUGUUUGCAGACAAAGAGAGAAGAAUGAAUAAACUGAGGGAAAGAAUAUUGGGGGCUCACUUUUAUAGAGUAGAGAUUUGGGAUGGCUUGCCUUUUGGACCUCCUCCUGACAGCAACAAGUCCAUCGCCCAGAUAGAAUGUAAAUAAUUAGCCUUUUCGUGACGUCAUCACUACGUCACCAUGCUGCCCAUG
rnacentral:lncRNA from 1 species